CGUACGAUCACCGAAGUUAAGCAACGUUGAGCCUGGUCAGUACUUAGAUGGGUGACCAUUUUGGAAUACCAGCUGCUGUAA